rnacentral:lncRNA from 1 species
AGAAACUUCCCGGCCAGCUCCACCCAGAAGAGAGAGCAGAUGGAAAAUUGGAGCAAGCCCUCAUCUUGGGUCAGGGAAGAAAAGAUUCUUUUUUUCCCCUUCUCUCUAAAAAUAUGCUCAGGGCUUUUUUGAGCCUUGAUGCAAUAGAAACCAGCUGUGGCCCAGAACGCCCCCGCAGCCACUGCCCAGGGAAAAGGAAAACAGAAACAGCCAUUGGAGGCGGGAUCAAUGCCUGUGUUUGGGCUCCAGGCCCAGCCUCUAGCCACCUCUGGCCUGGAAUUGUGUCCCAAAUGGGCACCAAACAGUCCCUGUUUAUUCGUCCUGUUGUGGGCUCAGGGCCCCAGGAGUCACUUAGCCCUUCCUCUUUCAAUUCUUGGCGCAGAGGAUGAGAAGAUGACAAGAAGUGGGCGUUUCUUAAACUCUGCACCCAGGCCUGCUGCUUCCUGGACCAACUCUUCCAUGGCCCUGGGUGUCACCCAGUGUUUCUGGAGCCUCUGAGUGGUGCCCGCUGCCUGGCAGCAGCCCCUGGAGGUGGUCACGGUGUCUACAAUUCCAUCACCAGAUCUUCCAUUUCCAGGAGUAACCCUGGGCAGGUGUAUACCAUGUGUCUUGUUUACAGUGGGGAUUAAUAGUUCAAGGAGCCCAAGGAGGGAAGGACCGGAUGUACUCUGCAAUCCCAGAAAACUCAAUGGGCUGAGGCAGGAGGACCUACUGGCCAUUGAAGACUGUCCACUCCUGGUCCAGAUUCCAAGUGACCAGGCAGAAAGAGCAUGGACUUUGGAGUUUGAUUGCCUGGCUUUAAAUCCCCCUGCUCCACUCGCUACUGUGGUGUGGACUCAAAUUCAACAAAUAUUCAUGCUGGAAUGGGAUGCAGAAGUCACCUACUUUCAGAGAUGGGGAAACUGAGACCCAGAGAGGGCACAGCCUUUUCUCGGGGGCCUCCAGUGACUCAGAGUCAAAUCUGUGCUUCUUGGCUCCUGGAUCUCUGAGCUGCACCCACUGGACCCCUAUGCCAACCCCAGCACCCCUGUUCUCCAUGGCGGCCCCGCCCUGAGGAUUUCCUAUGCCUUUCUACAGAGCUUUCUCCUUCUCCUAGAUCCCUUUUCUGCAAAACGAGGCUGGGGAGUUCUGAGCCAAGCCCAGGCCCACGUGCCUGGAACCAGAGACAGCGUAAGGAGCAGACACUGCCAGGUCACUUGCAGCAGACUCCAGGAGGAAAUGAGGGAAACAGAACCUCAGCCGUAGCCUAGCCAGGGCUCUCAGAGCCUAGAAAGCUCUUAGGAGAAGUGGAGAGUUGUUCAGAUCCAGGCUAAUUUGUCAUCUCCAGCCCUUCUCUGGUGAUCAGCUUGCCUCUUCCUCUACCUGCCCCUAUAGGUAGAGGAAGCUUGCCCUUCCUCUCCUGCAUCUUCUCCUCCCCUUUCUGUCACAUGCCUUCUGCUUCUUGAGGCCUCUGCCUCAUUGUAGUUUCUCUUGCUGUCCAGUUCCGGUGAGCUCAUGGCUUCUGUAGCCCAGUUUCUCUUUGCUUCCCUUUGUGAAUCUUUCCUGCUUCGACUCUCACUCCCAACUUCUUAACUUACACUCAAUGCUCCCAGAGGGAGGACUUGAUUGGUUUGGAAGUCCCCCACCAGGACAGGCCAAGGAUUAAGUGAGUUCUUAUAUGAGGUCUCUGAUUCCCUAACUCCAGCUAGGUGUUCAAUUAUUCAGUUCAAUUCUGACACCAACUCCAGGAGUUAGUGCAGACCCCAAGGUUUAGGGCUCAGCCCCACAGGGCUGUCCCCCUUUAGCCACCAGUCACACACAAGUCCAGGGACCAUCUGUACAUCUGACUGCCUGGCUCUGAAUUUCAGGGUUCCCAUAACCUCCCCUUCUAGUUAGAUCAUUCACUAGAACAAUUCACAAAACUCAGCAAGUGCUUUACUUACUAUUACCAGUGGAUUAUAAAGGAUACUACUCAAGAACAGACUCAUGGAAGAGAUGCAGGGAACAAAACAUGGGGGAUUUGCACAAAGCUUCCACGCCCUCCCAGCGAGUCCCUGUGUUCACCAGCCCUGAAGCUCCCAAACCCUGUUGUUUAGGGGUUUUUCUUGCAGUUUCAUUAUGAUGGAUUAAAUCAUUGGCCAUUGGCGAUUGAAUUCAAUCUCCAGCCCAUCUUACCCCCAUGGAGGCUGUAGGGGGUGUGGGGGUAACCAGCCCUCAUCAUGAAGCUCUCUAGGGCUCCUCCAUAAGUCAUCUCAUUAGCAUAUGAAAGGCAAUACGUUCAGGGGUUUUAGGAGCUCUGUGCCAGGAAUUAGAGACCAAGACCAAAUAUUUAUAUUUUAUACCACACCAGGCCACUUCUCAGCCCACUGGCCAACUUCAAGAUUGACUGCUGUUAGGUCACAAUACCCACUUGGCCAGGGGUAGAGAUCACUCAGUAUCAUGUGUGGUGUAAGCUGUUGAGAUUAGGCAUAGACAGUGGCAGGUGACUGACGGGCUGGACAACUGACAGAUGCUCACCUUGGCCAGUGUAGGCACAGAUAGGGCAGGACCCCAUUUGUUUAAGUGUUCCAUCCUCAGAAAUCCCCUCUCCCCCACUUCUUCCUUCUCUUCAUUCCUUCUUUGCUAUUUUUAAAUGGCACAUUGGAAAUAAAACAAUUGUCAAUGUAUUCAGCCCUCCCGCAGCGGGCUGCCAAUCAGCACAGUCCAGCCUACCUCCGCUUCCAUUCCCUCCACCUUAGCCCUCACCUCCCUCUUUGCUCUUGCCCCCGUCUCCGGGCACUCAGGUCUCUGUUAGUUUCUCAACAGCUUUGCAUAUGCUGUUCCCUCUAUUUGGAAUGCUCUUCCCCAUCUCCCACCCCUGGCUGGCUUUUCCUGGCCACCCACUCUGAAUGAUGCGCUCCUCUUACAUAUGUGCCCUGUGUGUUUCUUUACUGAUACUUGUCAGCCUGCUGAUCGACUUAUUUGCACAAACAUUUAAUAAAUCACUGGACCGUCUGCUGUAGGCGGGCAGAGAUCAGAUCUGUUUUGUCUUGCUCAGUACUGUGCAAUAACACCUAGAACAGGCCUGGCUUGGUAGAUAGCUAUUGAAUAAGUGAGUGAAUGGAUGAAUGUCAUUGAAUCAGAGAUGAUUAUGAUUCACAAAGGCUUAUAUGUAUGAGUGAAUUUGAAAAAAUAGAAACAACUUGAAUAUUCAAUAAUAGCCAAUUAAAAAUAUAGUAACCUACAAUGGAAUUUGCAUGGCA